GGGAAUGCCUUGGCUCUCAGAGGCGAUGAAGGACGUGAUAAGCUGCGAUAAGUUGCGGGGAUCAGCACAUAUGAAUUGAUCCGCAAAUUUCCGAAUGGGGCAACCCGGUAUAUUGAAGAUAUAUCAUCCGCAAGGAAGCAAACCUGGUGAACUGAAACAUCUAAGUAGCCAGAGGAAGAGAAAACAAUAGUGAUUCCGCUAGUAGUGGCGAGCGAACGCGGAAUAGCCCAAACCAAUAAUGUUACGGCAUUGUUGGGGUUGUAGGACCGUAAUAUUUGAUGUGCAAUGAAUAGGAAUCUUUUGGAAAAAAGAACCAAAGAGGGUGAUAGUCCUGUACUGGUAAGUUGCAUUAUUGAUAGCGGUAUCCUGAGUAGUGCGGGGCACGUGAAACCCUGUAUGAAUCUAGCGGGACCAUCCGCUAAGGCUAAAUACUCCUGAGAGACCGAUAGUGAACUAGUACCGUGAGGGAAAGGUGAAAA
rnacentral:rRNA from 1 species